GGUAUGGUGGCUCAGUGGUUAGAGCGCCCGCCUCAUUAACGGGAGGUCGUGGGUUCGAACCCCGGCCGAGUCA
rnacentral:tRNA from 1 species